rnacentral:tRNA from 1 species
GGCUCGUUGGUCAAGUGGUUAAGACUCCGCCCUCUCACGGCGGCAACAAGGGUUCGAAUCCCUUACGAGUCACCA